ensembl:snRNA U6 U6 spliceosomal RNA
CUAGGAAAAGUCCAUUUAAAAAAUGUUUAAUUGGAACGAUACAGAGAAGAUUAGCAUGGCGCCCUGUGCAAGGAUGAUAUGCAAAUUCGUGAGAUGUUCCAUAUUUUA